rnacentral:rRNA from 1 species
AUUGAACGCUGGCGGCAGGCCUAAUACAUGCAAGUCGAACGAGUGGCGGACGGGUGAGUAAUGUCUGGGAAACUGCCUGAUGGAGGGGGAUAACUACUGGAACCGGUAGCUAAUACCGCAUACCAUCGGAUGUGCCCAGAUGGGAUUAGCCAGUAGGUGGGGUAAAGUCUCACCUAGGCGACGAUCCCUAGCUGGUCUGAGAGGAUGACCGGCCACACUGGAACUGAGACACGGUCCAGACUCCUACGGGAGGCAGCAGUGGGGAAUAUUGCACAAUGGGUGCAAGCCUGAGGCAGCCAUGCCGCGUGAGUGAAGAAGGCCUUCGGGUUGUAAAGUACUUUCAUCGGGGAAGCGUUACCCGCAGAAGAAGCACCGGCUAACUCCGUGCCAGCAGCCGCGGUAAUUC